GGCUUCAUAACUCAGUUAGUAAAGCAUUGCACCGGUAACUCGGAGGCCAUGGGUUCAAAUCCCGUCGAAGCCC